rnacentral:rRNA from 1 species
UACGGGGGGGGCAAGCGUUGUUCGGAAUUACUGGGCGUAAAGGGCUCGUAGGUGGCCAACUAAGUCAGACGUGAAAUCCCCAGGCUCAACUUGGGAACUGCGUCUGAUACUGGAUGGCUUGAAUUCGGGAGAGGGAUGCAGAAUUCCAGGUGUAGCGGUGAAAUGCGUUGAUAUCAUCAGGAACACCGGUGGCGAAGGCAGCCUCCUGGGCCAGCACUGACGCUCAUGCACGAAAGUGUGGGGAGCAAACAGG